rnacentral:sRNA from 1 species
AGUGCUGAAAAGGAGCCUCCGGAAGAGAGGGCCUUCUCCUGCUUCUCUCCUCCUCCUCUCCAUGCUGGGGGGACACUGGUCACCUCUGACAAAAUUCUGGGGACGCUGGGGACCCUGAAUCACCAUGGGCAAUGAGAACAGCACCUCGGACAACCAGGUGGGUGUCAGGAAGCUUCUCUCUCGAGCUACAUGGUGCUCUUGGCAGACCUUGACUAGGUUCUUUUUAUAGCGUCUCAUCUUCACCCAGGAAGGAGCAAACAAGACAGCUUCUGCGUAGAUGCGUGCAGGCAUUUAUGGAUCUAUGCAGCCAUUUUUCAUUUCACUGGAAUUCUCUUACGAUUAAGGCUAGCUCUAGUUAAAGCCGGAAAUGCUAAUUCUACUUAUUAUUUAUUAUUAUUUUUAAAGACAUGGUCUUGCUCUGUCACCCAGGCUGGAAUGCAGUGGCAUGAUCAUAGCUCACUGCAGCCUUAAACACCUGGACUAACGCAAUCCUCCUGCCACACAGCCUUCCAAGUAUCUGGGACUACAGGCAUGCACCAACACGCCUGGCUAAUUUUUUAAUGUUUAGGUUUUGUAGAGAUGGGGUCUGGCAAUGUUGCCCAGGCUGGCCUUGAACUCCUGGACUCAAGCAAUUCUCCUUCUUUGGUUCCCCAAAGUGCUGGGAUUACAAGUAUGAGCCACCAUUACAGGCAUGAGCCACCGGGCCUGGCCUUACUUUUUAUUCUGUCUUCUAAAACUGACAUAAGAGAGAUUGGCACAUUUUUCCUAGGUUGUGUCCACCCAUCAACUUACAUGGAUUUAGCAGAGGUUAAAAUAAAACCUUUCCAUGCUGCUCCCCCAAAUAAAGCUAUGGCCAUUAAAAAAUGAUUUUGAAAUCUAUCAGUGUUGGGCAGAUUAAAUGUGAGUGGUCAUUCUCAUGUUAAACAAGGUUUUCACAAUUGAAGAAUGGACUUUAACUGCUUAAUUGUGCGUAGGCUGAGAUACUACAACAUAUUCAAAUUUUUCACUAUUUUAAAUUUGAAGUUUUAAUGCCUUAGUGAACAAAAUCAGGGAGACACUUUCCCAUUUAUCUCACACAAACUGGAAAGUUUAGAUUAAUGACAUGGAGUUCCUUGAAUGAGAAAAUUGGAUCUAAAAACCCACAUACUGUAAUUCAUUUCCCCUCUGCCUUUUUCUUCCCUCCCAGCUGAUUUUUGUAUUUUUAGCAGAGACGGGGUUUCACCAUGUUGGCCAGGCUGGUCUCGAACUCCUGACUUCAGGUGAUCCACCCUCCUCAGCCUCCCAUACUGCUGGGAUUACAGGCAUGAGCCACUGCGCCCGGCCUCUACAAUUUUUUUUUCUUUUCUCAAGCAAGAAAACAAAGUGUCAAAAGAGAAGUUGUCAAACUCCAGCGUCUUUAGGGGUAGGCCAGAAACAACAAUUGUGUUAAAAGACUAGGUGUGACCAUGGAAUACUAUGCAGCCAUAAAAAAGGAUGAGUUCACGUUCUUUGUUAGGGACAUGGAUGAAGCUGGAAACCAUCAUUCUGAGCAAACUGUCACAAGGACAGAAAACCAAACACCACAUGUUCUCACUCAUAGGUGGGAAUUGAACAAUAAGAACACUUGGACACAGGAUGGGGAGCAUCACACACCGGGGUCUGUUGUGGGGUGGGGGGAAGGGGAGGGGGAGGGAUAGCAUUUGGAGAUAUACCUAAUGUAAAUGACGAGUUAAUGAGUGCAGCACACCAACAUGGCACAUGUAUACAUAUGUAACAAACCUGCACGUUGUGCACAUGUACCCUAGAACUUAAAGUAU